rnacentral:rRNA from 1 species
CUACGGGACGCAGCAGUGGGGAAUAUUGCACAAUGGGCGCAAGCCUGAUGCAGCAACGCCGCGUGAAUGAAGAAGGUCUUCGGAUCGUAAAGUUCUUUUCUUAGGGAAGAAACCAUGACGGUACCUAAGGAAUAAGCACCGGCUAACUACGUGCCAGCAGCCGCGGUAAUACGUAGGGUGCAAGCGUUAUCCGGAAUCACUGGGCGUAAAGGGUGCGUAGGCGGUCUGACAAGUCAGGAGUGAAAGGCAGUGGCUCAACCAUUGUAAGCUUUUGAAACUGUCGGACUUGAAUGCAGGAGGGGCAAGUGGAAUUCCUAGUGUAGCGGUGAAAUGCGUAGAUAUUAGGAGGAACACCAGUGGCGAAGGCGACUUGCUGGACUGUAAUUGACGCUGAGGCACGAAAGCGUGGGGAGCAAACAGGAUUAGAUACCCCCGUAGUC